rnacentral:rRNA from 1 species
ACUUGUGCUAAUACCGAAUGUGCCCUUCGGGGGAAAGAUUUAUCGCCUUUAGAGCGGCCCGCGUCUGAUUAGCUAGUUGGUGAGGUAAAGGCUCACCAAGGCGACGAUCAGUAGCUGGUCUGAGAGGAUGAUCAGCCACAUUGGGACUGAGACACGGCCCAAACUCCUACGGGAGGCAGCAGUGGGGAAUCUUGCGCAAUGGGCGAAAGCCUGACGCAGCCAUGCCGCGUGAAUGAUGAAGGUCUUAGGAUUGUAAAAUUCUUUCACCGGGGACGAUAAUGACGGUACCCGGAGAAGAAGCCCCGGCUAACUUCGUGCCAGCAGCCGCGGUAAUACGAAGGGGGCUAGCGUUGCUCGGAAUUACUGGGCGUAAAGGGAGCGUAGGCGGACAUUUAAGUCAGGGGUGAAAUCCCGGGGCUCAACCUCGGAAUUGCCUUUGAUACUGGGUGUCUUGAGUAUGAGAGAGGUGUGUGGAACUCCGAGUGUAGAGGUGAAAUUCGUAGAUAUUCGGAAGAACACCAGUGG